rnacentral:rRNA from 1 species
GAUGAACGCUGGCGGCGUGCCUAAUACAUGCAAGUCGAGCGAACGGACGAGAAGCUUGCUUCUCUGAUGUUAGCGGCGGACGGGUGAGUAACACGUGGAUAACCUACCUAUAAGACUGGGAUAACUUCGGGAAACCGGAGCUAAUACCGGAUAAUAUUUUUAAACGCAUGGUUCAAGAGUGAAAGACGGUCUUGCUUUCACUUAUAGUUGGAUCCGCGCUUCAUUAGCUAGUUGGUAAGGUAACGGCUUACCAAGGCAACGAUGCAUAGCCGACCUGAGAGGGGGAUAGGCCACACUGGACCUGAGAAAGGGUCAAGCCUCCUACGGGAGGAAGAGGAAGGGAUCCUUCCGAAAUGGGCGAAAGCCUGACGGAGAAACGCCGGGUGAGUGAUGAAGGUCUUCGGAUCUUAAAACCCUGUUAUUAGGGAAGAACAUAUGUGUAAGUAAAUGUGCACAUCUUGACGGUAACUAAUCAGAAAGCCACGGCUAACUACGUG